CGAUGAUGAUAUGUAGAAUCUUAGAUAGUUGUGUAACCAUGCCUCGACUUUGUGGUCUCAAAGCUAUCUCACAUGUUUGGAGUCACUAUGAAAGGAUUGAAGAAGGUGAUGAUGGAUGGUGGAAAGUAAGAUGUAGUUAUUGUCAUCUUGUUUUAUGUAUUAUGUUUGGACUUUGGACUUGUUAAUCCUAAGGUUGCUACUACUUUGCAUUGUUAUUAAUGUGUUUGAACUAUUACUUUGGAGUUUGGACAUUACUGUGUAUACAUCUGUUUUUGGGUUGUGAAAGUUGGGAUCUUUUUAUCUCC